rnacentral:lncRNA from 14 species
CUGGGCCCGGCGCGGGCUGUCCCUCCUCCUCCUCUCCUCCUCCCCGUGGGCUGGGGUUCCUUGUCCCUGUUGAGGUUUGGGGUCACCUCACCCAUCCCAAGGGGUUUGGGGUGUCCCUGUCCCCGAUCUCAGGGGGGUUUGGGGUCACCCCACUGUCCUGGAGGGUUUUGGGGUCACCCCGUGUCGCCGGGGGUUUGGGGUGUCCCUGUCCCCGAUCUCAGGGGGGUUUGGGGUCACCCCACUGUUCCGGGGAUUUUGGGGUGUCCUUGUCACCGAUCUCAGGGGGUUUUGGGGUCUCCCCACUGUCCUGGAGGGUUUUGGGGUCACCUCACCCAUCCCGGGGGUUUUGGGGUGUCCUUGUCCUCGAUCUCAGGGGUGUUUGGGGUCACUCCGUGUCCUGGAGGGUUUUGGGGUGUCCUUGUCACCAAUCUCAGACGGUUUUUGGGGUCACCCCACUGUCCCCGGGGCUUCGGGGUGCUCUUGUCCCCGAUCUCAGGGGGCUUUGGGGUCUCUCCACUGUCUCAGGGGGUUUUGGGGUCACCCCGUGUCUCAGGGGGUUUUGGGGUGUCCCUGUCCCCGAUCUCAGGGGGGUUUUGGGGUCACCCCGUGUCUCAGGGGGUUUUGGGGUGUCCUUGUCCCCAAUCUCAGGCGGUUUUGGGGUGCUCUUGUCCCCUGUCUCAGACCUCCAAGGGGUUUUGGGGUCACCCCACUGUCCCGGGGCUUUUGGGGUCACCCCACUGUCUCAGGGGGGUUUUGGGGUGUCCCUGUCCCCUGUCUCAGACCUCCAAGGGGUUUUGGGGUCACCCCACUGUCCCGGGGCUUUUGGGGUGCUCUUGUCUCCAGUCUCAGAGCUCGGAGGGGUUUUGGGGUCUCUCCACUGUCUCAAGGGGGUUUUGGGGUCUCUCCACUGUAUCAGGGGGGUUUUGGGGUGUCGCUGUCUCCAAUCUCAGAGCUCGGAGGGGUUUUGGGGUCACCUCACCCAUCCCAAGGGGUUUGGGGUGUCCCUGUCCCCGAUCUCAGGGGGGUUUUGGGGUCACCCCGUGUCCUGGGGGGUUUUGGGGUGUCCUUGUCCCCGAUCUCACAGGGAUUUUGGGGUCUCCCCACUGUCUCAGGGAGUUUUGGGGUGUCCUUGUCCCCCCCAUUUUGGGGGUCCCCAUGUGUCCUUCAGCCCCAAUUUAGGGGUCCCCACUUCCCCGCCAUUUUGGGGGUCUUGAGGUGUCCUCGACCCACCCGGAUUUUGGGGUCCCCGGGUGGCCUUGAACCCCCCAAUUUUGGGGGUCUCUGGGUGUCUCUGUUCCCCCAAUUUUGGGGGUCCCCCUGUGUGUUUCUCCCCCAAUUCCGGGGGUCUUGGGGUGUCCUUGACCCCCCAUUUUGGGGUCCCCAGGUGUCCUUCACCCCCAAUUUUGGGGGUCCCCAGGUAUCUCUGCCCCCCCAUCAUUUUGGGGGUCCCCCGGUGCCCUCACUCCCAAUUUUGGGGUCCCCGCUCCUUGUCCCCUCCAAUUUGCCCCCCUCCCCCUCCCCCAUUUGGGGGCUUA